CAAAAGGGCAAACUUAAAAAAAUGCAGGGAAUUAGUUAGGAAAGUGGACUGGACUGAAGAACUCAAGGAUCUGAAUGUGGAGGAGGCUUGGAAUUACUUUAAGCCAAAGUUGCAAAAUCUGUCUAAAGCCUGCAUCUCAAGCAAGGGGGAAAAUAUUCAUAGCGAAGGGUUGCAAACCAAGCAGGAUGAGCAAACAUCUCAAACAGGUUAUUAAGAGAAAGCAGAAAGCCUACCAAGAAUGGAAGAGGGGAAGGAUCAGCAAGGAAAGCUACCUCUUAGAGGUCAGAAAGUAUAGGGAUAAACUGAGAACUGCUAUAAACCAAGGAAAAU